rnacentral:rRNA from 1 species
UACGAAAGGGGCUAGCGUUGCUCGGAAUUACUGGGCGUAAAGCGCACGUAGGCGGCUCUUUAAGUCGGGGGUGAAAUCCUGGAGCUCAACUCCAGAACUGCCUUCGAUACUGAAGAGCUUGAGUCCGGGAGAGGUGAGUGGAACUGCGAGUGUAGAGGUGAAAUUCGUAGAUAUUCGCAAGGAACACCAGUGGCGAAGGCGGC